rnacentral:tRNA from 1 species
GGGUGGAGCAGUCAGGUAGCUCGUCGGGCUCAUAACCCGAAGGUCGUAGGUUCGAGUCCUACAAGGUCCA